AUGCAGCUGGGCUGGGAGCAAUCAUCCCAUUGCACCUUAAUUACUGGGCGUUGCUACAAUGCAGUAUAUCUGUGAGAGGGCUGCACAUUUUUCCACAUGCGUCCUCUACCUGGAGCUGGGGUGUUCACUCAGCCGCGUGGUUUGCCGUGGCAGUCUCGAGAUGCUGGCGGAGUAUUUCUCUACCUACCUGUCAGAAUUCGGCUGGUACCUUGGCCGAAGGCUGGGAGCCGGGUGUGUGUGGCCUCAGAGCUGGGCAUAACCUAUGCAUCGCGUUGGAUUUUUGAGGAGCUGUUGGGCUGUAUGACGAGUGGCUGGCUGAUUCUUCCCCCCCCCCCGAGGUGGUGGUCCCCUCACUCCCUGUACAGUAGAGCACUUGGGUGUCCAUUAGUGGUUUUGUUUUUUUGCACGUGUGGUGUGUCGCAUCUGGACCUUCCCCUUCCCUUUUCAGUCAGUCAUUCCGGUCUGGUAAGCCCUGAGUUCAGUGUAUAGAUGUUCGGUGGCUGCACUUUGGAGGUCCUAAAGGACUGCAUCUAUUGUGCCACUCACUAUUGAGCUGUGUUGUGGCACCGCCACUAAGAUAUUUUUUUUUUUAUGGAAAUAUUGUCAUUUUAACAAAAAGCAUAUUGUUAAUAAAUUCCGCAGUAACAGACUCUAUGACUUGAAUCUGGUCACCAGCAGGUUUAUCUCAGAAAACCUCGAGUUUCUCUCUGUCUUCGCCCUCUUUCAGCCACACACCAUGUUUGAUUUCCUCAUUCAUUCAGUCAGUAAGCGGGCGAGUUUUGGCGUAGAACAGCUUUUAUUAACGAUCCAGUGGAUAAAGGAGCAGCAUUACUACACAGAUAAUUAAAUAUUUGUCUGUAGAUUAUCAGACCGAGCAUUUUAUUCGCAUUUCCAGACAAUUAUCUGUUUGAGCAGUACUGUUUCAUAAUCGUUUCAAGUCAAUCUACAUAAACAACCUAAUCCAUCCUUAUAUUUACAUUACCAGCCGCAGUCAUGCUCUCACAUCCAGCAGAUAGUGUGUGUGUGUUGCGCUGCAGUUCUUUGCAAAUGAAAGUUUUUAUAUAAUGUCGGAGAUGCAGAGCACUUCAGUAAGACAACUGUAUGCAGGAAGGUCAGAAAAGUGUUCCUGAACCCGAAACGACUUUUACCAUCUUUGUGGUUUUCCCUGGACAUAAACCUGUCGGAGCCAUCAAGGAGGAGUUCCACAGGAUUGCAGGUGAAUGAUGUAGAGAUCUGUUAAAUUCAUUUUAAAUCAUAUUCUGUUAAUGACAUUGUGCUGCAACCUCAGACUGGGAUUAGUCAUUUUAAUUUCUUUUAGGAUUUCCCAGUGUGAUUGGCUGCAUAUAUGCACACACAUCCCCAUUCACAGCUCCCUCACAUCAUGAAUAGGAAGUCCAUUCACAACAUAAAUGUUCAGGAGAGUUUGAUGGCCUUCUGCUGGGUGACAGGGGUUACCAUGACAACCCAGGCUGAUGAUCUCAUACCCUGACCCUGAACCAGGCCCCCAACAGAACUUCAACCAGACUCACUGCAGGACCAGAGCCUGGGUGGAGAUGACAUAGGCCUGCUGAAAGCCCGUUUCCAGAGCCUACGUCACUUCAGGGUGACCCCUGAGAGGGCGUGUGAUAUUACUGUGGCAUGUGCUGUUCUUCAUAAUAUUACCACUAUUAGAGAAGGCCAUAAUCCAACCUUUUACAUCCAGAUGACACAAGCCAGUAAACGAUUUUAUCCAAAACAUGUCCUAAAGUCGGUAUAAAAUCCCUGAAUCGGUCAUUAUCAAGGAAAUGGACCUCGCGAUGCCCGUCCAAUAUUCCCUGUAUUUUUCGUAAUUUUUUUAUUUAAAAAUAGAAUAUUAGCGAUUUU